ensembl:lncRNA
GAGGAAUGGAAAUGAGCAUUUAUUAAGCACCUUGAAAUUCAAUUCAAUUUACUAUGAUUAAGUCUCUACUAUAUGGUAGGCAUUUUGCUAAUGAUUUAAAAUAUUACCUGUGAAAAGGCAGGCAUCUCAGAGGCCAGUUAGUCUAAUUUCUGUCUUUCAUUUUACAGAUGCUAAAACUGAAGACUAUGGAGGUUAAGUGACUUGUCUAAGGCAAUAUUGGCAAUACCUGCCACAGGUGGGAUUUGCAUCCAGGACCUCUGAUUCCAAGUCACUAGGACGAUGUAGGCUGGAGGCUCCGCUGGAAGAAGGAAAAUGCAAUCAUCUGGGCCGUGCAGGGGUCAUACAAGCUCCACUCCCCAGUCUCACUCCCAGGGGCCACGGCUCCUCUGACCAGGUCCUGGGAGUAGUCCAGGCCAUUAAGAAUUAACCUUCAAAAAACAAGCCUAGCCCCUGGGCCCAGUCAGGCUCUUCCUACCUUCCCUAACUCCCAGGGCAGCGCCCUGUACUCGCUUUUCCCCUCGGACUUCCAGGGGCGUAGCCUAGACUUAGGAAGGCUGCUCACCCUGAAUCACUUCAUUUUCACUUUCGUUACCUAUGGUCCAAAUUACAGUGAGGCAGGGCAGCAGUGGUGGCUGCGAUGACGGAGACUACCCGCUGCCAGCUGCUUCGGCACUUAGAGCACCUGACUUCCGACGAGCUGAAGAAAUUGGAGGACAAUCUCCCCCGGGGCCACCUGGAGGAGGAGGAUCGCACAAAAGUGGCCCAUCUCCUGGUUAGUUCUCAUGGGCAACAAAAGGCCUGGAAGCUGGCUCUGAGGAUCUGGAAGAUGGGCCUGAUGGAGCUGUGGGAGCGAGCCAGGAAGGAGUAUCUUGGAUUAGUUCCUGCUCCAGGUUUUCCAGCCUCCUCAGAUGAAAGAAAUAAGUACCAAGAACGAAUGCAAGAGAAAUUCCAGUUCAUUACAAGGAGCAGAAACAACAUGAGCUCCUAGUCCAUGUAUGGCAACAUGCUAAUGUCUUGGAGAAACGAGGACUGUUUAUGAAUAUAUCUUCUUUAUUUGAUGCUGAUCAAAAGACACGCACCCAACCAUGCAUUGCUGUGCUGCAGGGGACUGCUGGUAUUGGGAAGACCACCCUGGCCAUCAAAGUGAUGUUGGACUGGGCAGAGGGAAAACUCUACCGGGAC